rnacentral:piRNA from 1 species
AACAGGGAAACGACUUGAGAUGACGGCUAG